GACGAACGCUGGCGGCGUGCUUAACACAUGCAAGUCGAACGGAAAGGCCCUGCUUUUGUGGGGUGCUCGAGUGGCGAACGGGUGAGUAACACGUGAGUAACCUGCCCUUGACUUUGGGAUAACUUCAGGAAACUGGGGCUAAUACCGGAUAGGAGCUCCUGCUGCAUGGUGGGGGUUGGAAAGUUUCGGCGGUUGGGGAUGGACUCGCGGCUUAUCAGCUUGUUGGUGGGGUAGUGGCUUACCAAGGCUUUGACGGGUAGCCGGCCUGAGAGGGUGACCGGCCACAUUGGGACUGAGAUACGGCCCAGACUCCUACGGGAGGCAGCAGUGGGGAAUAUUGCACGAUGGGCGGAAGCCUGAUGCAGCAACGCCGCGUGCGGGAUGACGGCCUUCGGGUUGUAAACCGCUUUCGCCUGUGACGAAGCGUGAGUGACGGUAAUGGGUAAAGAAGCACCGGCUAACUACGUGCCAGCAGCCGCGGUGAUACGUAGGGUGCGAGCGUUGUCCGGAUUUAUUGGGCGUAAAGGGCUCGUAGGUGGUUGAUCGCGUCGGAAGUGUAAUCUUGGGGCUUAACCCUGAGCGUGCUUUCGAUACGGGUUGACUUGAGGAAGGUAGGGGAGAAUGGAAUUCCUGGUGGAGCGGUAGAAUGCGCAGAUAUCAGGAGGAACACCAGUGGCGAAGGCGGUUCUCUGGGCCUUUCCUGACGCUGAGGAGCGAAAGCGUGGGGAGCGAACAGGCUUAGAUACCCUGGUAGUCCACGCUGUAAACGGUGGGUACUAGGUGUGGGGUCCAUUCCACGGGUUCCGUGCCGUAGCUAACGCUUUAAGUACCCCGCCUGGGGAGUACGGCCGCAAGGCUAAAACUCAAAGGAAUUGACGGGACCCCGCACAAGCGGCGGAGCAUGCGGAUUAAUUCGAUGCAACGCGUAGAACCUUACCUGGGUUUGACAUGGAUCGGGAGCGCUCAGAGAUGGGUGUGCCUCUUUUGGGGUCGGUUCACAGGUGGUGCAUGGCUGUCGUCAGCUCGUGUCGUGAGAUGUUGGGUUAAGUCCCGCAACGAGCGCAACCCUUGUUCACUGUUGCCAGCACGUUAUGGUGGGGACUCAGUGGAGACCGCCGGGGUCAACUCGGAGGAAGGUGGGGAUGACGUCAAGUCAUCAUGCCCCUUAUGUCCAGGGCUUCACGCAUGCUACAAUGGCUGGUACAGAGAGUGGCGAGCCUGUGAGGGUGAGCGAAUCUCGGAAAGCCGGUCUCAGUUCGGAUUGGGGUCUGCAACUCGACCUCAUGAAGUCGGAGUCGCUAGUAAUCGCAGAUCAGCAACGCUGCGGUGAAUACGUUCCCGGGGCU
rnacentral:rRNA from 1 species